rnacentral:lncRNA from 1 species
AGUUCAAAACUCAUUAUCAAAUUAUGAGUUGCUAAUCUCCACAAGUAUCUUACAUAGGAGAGAGUUCCUUCAAGUUGCUCACAGUUGUAUGAAGAAGUCUGACCUCUACAGAUCGUCCACAUGAAGAAUGGUGCAGAUCAGACUCCUUAGGAGUGCUAGCUCGCAAGAAUCUUUGUAGGCUGAACUACUUCUUCUUCUCUUGAUCUCUUGGAUGCUUCAAAGGAGAGGAAGAAUAUAUGGA